CCCACUCUCAGGCUGGUGGGGUGGGGAAAGCAGCCCAUUCCUGGGCUCAGAGACUCCCACCCCAGCUCAGAGGGAGCAGGGGCCCAGCCAGGGACGGACCCCCAUUCCUCCCAGGGACCCCAGACCUCUGUCUCUCUCGGGUAAGUCUCCAUCUCUGUCUGUCUGUCUGUCUCUGUCUCUGCCUGUUUUCCACGCGCUCAGCAAGGCCUCCUGCCCUGAGAGAGGCUCCGCCCACUACUCCCCCUUCCCCCAUAAAACCAGCUGAGUCUCCGUGCCAGGAAGGCUGCGUGCACUGGAGCUGGGUCAUCUCAGGUGGGGAGUUGGGGUCCCCGAAGGUGAGGACCCUCUGGGGAGGAGGGUGCUUCUCUGAGACACUUUUCCUCACACCUGUUCCUCGCCAGCAGGCCUUGGCUCCUUGAACUUUUGGCCGCCAUGUGCUUCGCGAAGGUCCACUCUGCUGCAAUUAAAGAUCUGAGGGCCCGAAUGGUAAUGCUCCUCCCUACUUCUGCUCAGGGAUUGGGGGUCUGGGUCUCAGCCUGUGACACUGAGGGCACUAUGGGACACCGGGGACCCUGGAGGGACAAGGAUCAGGCCCUUUGGUGCCAACACUGCCUCUCUUCACAGCAUCAAGCCGUAGACAGAUAUUGUGAUGAAAUGGAAAAUGAAGAAUCAGGAUGUGGACAGGUGGGUGGAUUUGCCCUCAGGCACCAGGUCACAUGUCCCCACCCCCAGGCUCUCCACCCUGUGGGGGGCUCAGGGUAAGAAGGAUGAAGAGGGACCCACAGGCUCCCUCAUCCCUUACCCUGGGCAAAUGCUUGCACCUGGGUGGCAGUGAGUGGGCGGGUGGGGGAUCUGGACGCCCGGGGAGACUGAGGGAGGCGUUCAAGCCCCAGGGCUCCUUGAGG
rnacentral:sRNA from 1 species